rnacentral:piRNA from 1 species
UGUAAAUACAUUUCAAUUUCA